CACGUGAGAAUUUAUCUUUAGGCGGGGAAUAACAAUUGGAAACGAUUGCUAAUGCCGCGUAAUAUACCAAGCGUAUUAAAGAAGAAAUUCACCUAAAGAAAAGCUUGCGUCUGAUUAGCUAGUUGGUAGGGUAAAAGCCUCCCAAGGCGACGAUCAGUAGCUGGUUUGAGAGGAUGACCAGUCACACUGGAACUGAGACACGGUCCAGACUCCUACGGGAGGCAGCAGUGGGGAAUUUUCUGCAAUGGGCGAAAGCCUGACAGAGCAAUACCGCGUGAGGGAAGACAGCCCACAGGGUCG
rnacentral:rRNA from 1 species